rnacentral:rRNA from 1 species
CCUACGGGAGGCAGCAGUGAGGAAUAUUGGUCAAUGGCCGGAAGGCUGAACCAGCCAUGCCGCGUGAAGGUCAGUGCCCUAUGGGCGUUAAACUUCUUUUGUGCGGGAGCAAUAAUGGUCACGUGUGGCCAGACGAGAGUACCGUACGAAUAAGAAUCGGCUAACUACGUGCCAGCAGCCGCGGUAAUACGGGGAAUGCAAGAGUUAUCCGGAUUAUUUGGGUUUAAAGGGUGCGUAGGCUGGGAGGUAAGUCAGCGGUGAAAAGCCCCCGCUCAACGGGGUGAAGUGACAUUGAUACUGCCUUGCUGGAAUGCGGAUGCCGUGGGAGGAAUGUGUGGUGUAGCGGUGAAAUGCAUAGAUAUCACACAGAACACCGAUUGCGAAGGCAUCUCACGAAUCCGCGAUUGACGCUGAUGCACGAAAGCGUGGGUAUCAAACAGGAUUAGAUACCCUUGUAGUC